rnacentral:misc_RNA from 1 species
UGAAUCAUGUUUUGGUGAUUCUGCAUCAAUAGAUAUUCUAAUUAAUGGUUGCUGAGAAAGCAUAAAGUAAUCAAACUCAGAAAUAAUUAAGUAACAAUCUAUUCUUAGCUUUGUGAAUGCCACACCGAACCGACCUCAUCGGUUAUUAGAAAUUUCAAACGGCAACCAUUCAUAAAAGCAGAAAAACUGAUAUUUUUUGGGUAUGCCAGUUUUGGGCUUGAAUUUCAGUUUCAGUUUCAUCCCCAACAUGCAUGAAUCCAAUAACAAAUAGAACACAGCAAACAAAGAAAAGGCAUAUUUAGCAGAGUGGCUAGAAGUCAUAGAUUAGGCCAAGCCAUCUGCUUAACAGAAAAUAGAGAGAGCAGUGUUUCCUUGUAGUCGCUGUCUCAGAAAACAGUAUUAUAAAAAGAAAGAUAGAACAAAUAAUUUGCAGUAUGCAAAAGCAAUUUUAUGAUAUCAUAAUAAAUUUCUCAUGUAUUUCUAGGAUUUUUAUGAUAUCAUUAACAAAAGCAUAUGGACGAGAAAUGGAGAAAGCCACAUGAAAACUAAAUUUAGCAAUCUCAUAUACCUUGUAAUGUCUGCAACUGCAGGAUCUCUAAAUUGCAACCAUUUCUUACAUCAAAAUGGAGAAAACCACUUUCAUGUGCCAUCAAGAUAUUUAUGAGAGAAUUAGAGGAUUUAGAUGAAAGAUGAGGGGAAGGAUGCAAGAUAGAUUUGAGGAAAGAAGAGGAUGCUAGCGGCUGUAACUGCAAAUUGAAGUAAUUACAGUGGGUUUUUUAGGUCAAGAGCUUUAUAUAUAACCACAAUAUGGUAAGCUUUGAUUAAAUAAUUAGAUGUUCGGGUCGGGUCAGUU